CUCCUUGGCGGCUUGUUAGAAAGCAGAGUCUGAAUCUGGGAUAGGAACCAAGAUUUGGCAUUUUCAACAAAUUUCCAGGUGA
ensembl:miRNA